rnacentral:misc_RNA from 1 species
UUUCUGUAGGUGAACCUGCGGAAGGAUCAUUAUAAAUGAAAAACGAAUAACUUCAGGGAAGAAGGGAACCUGCACGGUGACCUCCCCUGUCGGGCCACCCAAUACCUUCAAAAUGCCGCCGUCCUAGCGGUGGCAGACGAAAAAAAAACAAGAAAAACAAAAUAGAAACAGGCACGGUGGCCCGUUCACCUUCACACAACCCUCCGAGUACCGCUUCCAUGUUGCUUCCCCGCAAAUCCACCUCUUUGGUGAGCGCGGGGGAGGUCCGCAUCAAAUUCACCUGGAUGUCACAGCAGUCAGACAGCCAUUCAUGGAAACAAUAAAACUUUCAACAACGGAUCUCUUGGUUCCC